UACGUAGGCAGCAAGCGUUGUUCGGAGUUACUGGGCGUAAAGGGUGCGUAGGCGGCCCUGUAAGUAUGGUGUGAAAUCUCCCGGCUUAACUGGGAGGGUGCGCUAUAGACUGCGGGGCUCGAGUGUGGGAGAGGAAAGUGGAAUUCCUGGUGUAGCGGUGAAAUGCGUAGAUAUCAGGAGGAACACCAGUGGCGAAGGCGAGUCUCUAGACAACUCCUGACACUGAGGCACGAAAGCUAGGGGGAGCAAACAGG
rnacentral:rRNA from 1 species